UACGGGGGGAGCAAGCGUUGUUCGGAUUUACUGGGCGUAAAGCGCGUGCAGGCGGUUGCCUAAGUCGGGUGUGAAAGCCUUGAGCUCAACUCAAGAAUUGCGCUCGAUACUGGGUGACUAGAGGACCGGAGAGGAUAGUGGAAUUCCCAAUGUAGUGGUGAAAUACGUAGAGAUUGGGAAGAACACCAGUGGCGAAGGCGGCUAUCUGGACGGUUUCUGACGCUAAGACGCGAAAGCGUGGGAGCAACAG
rnacentral:rRNA from 1 species